rnacentral:lncRNA from 1 species
AAAGUUCUUCUGUUGCAUAAAUGAACGUUCAUGCCUGCACAGGUCGGAUCCAUGGAGCAGAGUCACCGUCGGUUGGGGACUAUCGUGGUUGCAACGAUCACCCGAGUUCUAAUUAUAAAGGAGCGUGCUUUAUACCGUUCAACGACAUAGCCUGCAAGCGUGUAUGCUUAGACGAAAGCAGCGACAAUAUUUCCGGCUACUGUUACGUUUUCU